rnacentral:misc_RNA from 1 species
GAAGAUUUUUAGUUUAUGCUGGGAGGCAACUAGCGUCACACAAGGAUGGGAAGAUUCGUCUGAACAAAUCCUCAAAAGCAUGGAGUAAUCCAGAGUUAAUCUCAGUGUCACCUUUGGCAGUUGUGGGUGGACAAAAGACCUCCUUUUUAUUAAGGGGAAGGAAUUUGAAAAAUCCUGGCACCAGGAUUCAUUGCACGUCUAUGGGAGGCUACGUAUCUGAAG